rnacentral:tRNA from 1 species
UCCAGUAUGGCAUAGUGGUUUGAGCGCUGGACUAUGACUCUGGAGACCAGGGUUUGAAUCUCAGCUCAGUCA